UUAAAAGUAUGUGAUCAUUCUCAAUAUGGACCCCCAUAUUUCAAUUUCAUUAUUUUACUCCCACGGUUUUCAAAUUUGCUCAAUUUACUUUCCGUUAAAUUCACCGUUUGAUUAGACAUUAACUGCUAACGUGUCUACUGUGAGACAUAGCCACUUAUCAAUCCCCAUCCCAUCUAACAUGUAAUUAAACAAAAACUAAAUAUAUAAUAUUUAAAAAAAAGAAAAAAAAAAAAAGAGGCAUAUAGCCUUCCCCAUCCCUCUCACCGACGCACAGUCGCACCACCCGAUCCCCCUCCCUUUCUUCGUCCUUUGUAUCUCUCUCUCUCUCUCUCUCUCUCUCUCCCUCUCCGUCCCUUUCUCCCCCAUCCCAUCUUCUCGAGUUCUCUGAUAUCCCCCCCCUUUCGCGAUCUACCUCUCCUUCGAGAGGCUUCUCGAGUCCAGGCCCUGCGAUGCCGAUCAGACCGAGCUCAUCGAUCGCUCUCUCCAAUUGGGCUCUGUGCUCCUCGAGGCUGCUAAUCGUUCUGCGAGAAAACCAGCCUCCAAGCACAACUCUCUCACCUGUACUCUCCCCCCAAACCCCCCUCCAAGCACAAUUUGUAUAUAUUGAUAGGGAUGGGGAGCUGGGAGGAGAGUGGGACGGAGAGAGAGAGUGGGGGACGAAGAGAGGGAGAGUGCUCUGGUGGGGAAGAGGCAGGUGCGCCGCUAUCACGAACACAUUCAGACCACGAGCUGACGCAAGUUGAAAUCAUGCUUCUCUGUUUUUCUAGUUCUGUAGUCGCCGCUAAUCAUGCUGCUUUGAUUUUCCAUUGAUGUUUGCUUUGUUACUCUCAAAAAGUUUCCUUCCUUUAUUUAUUUAUUUAUUUCGAUAAUGAAAUUUGAAAUUUGAAUUGUGUGUUGCUUUGUUACUCUCAAUAAAUCUUCCUUCUUUUUCUUUUUUCUUACAGGAAUUGGGUUUUGGUGUUUCACCGACGAGCUGACGCCAGAGAGAGAGGGAUGGGGUUGGUGUGGGUGCGAGUGGGGGGCUGAACAAGGGGUGCUGGGUUUGUUGGGCUGAGGAGGGGCUGGGAUUUUUUAAGAGGUUUAAUAAUUUGCUUUUACAAAUACCAUGAUCGUUUUCAGAAAUCUCUCUUUCUGGAGGCAGAUUCCAGAGCCGUUUAAGGGAAAUUCGUAGUCGAGCUACCGAUGUUCAUGAUAAGGAAAAGGGAAUCAAGAUUACUGAGAAGGAUUGGGAAAAGUUGAAUGUACAAUUGCUUCAUACAACAAUUUUCCUACUGCUGCUGGAUUGGCUUCCUCAGCAGCUGGUUUUGCAUGUCUUGUUUUUGCCCUCGCAAAGUUAAUGAAUGCAAAUGAAGAUCACAGCCAGCUUUCUGCUACUGUAAUCAAUCUGAGAUUUUAAUAAGCCAUCGCAAUCUGACUAAGUUUUACAGAAUACUUAACACAAUAGUAAGUGCUGAUAUCGACCCUGAAGAACGUCUCCUUGACAGUAGCUUAAUUGAUUUUGACAGAGCAAGCCUCCUUUAUGCCAUUGGGAAUAAUAAUGUGUCCAUUGAUCAGCCCGCCCACAUUUUCCGAGCCAUUUGCCUGGCUGCAAGCCCAGACGACUACUACGAAACUCAUUCCCUGCCUUUUGGGUCGUUGAUCACUAGGUUUGCCAUGGCGUCUAAGGUGCGAAUUGAUCCUACGGAUCAGGUUAAACAACUUAUGCCACCUAUCAACUAGAUGAUGUUUCAUAAUGAUGAGACAGAUGAAACAAGUGAAGAAUCUGUUGUUGGAUUUACUCCUCCUCCUGCACCUGCUUCGGAGCCAAGUCCUCCACAGCUUAAUCAGCCUUCUCUUUCCCAGACGAAAAGCUUUGAGAAGUUUUCCAUAAAGCUGAGAAAGCGCAUGGCCCGACUUGCCAAUGAGGUCGUUAAGCUCACCGGUUGCGUACAUUGGGGCAUCCCAUUGAAAGAACCAUUUACAGGUCAUUCUAAUGUUGAGCUUGCUUUAGUUUAUAUGUGUUUUUGUCCUUUUCAGCUUUGUUAAACCCUGUCUUCAACUUUCAUUUCUAAUCCAUUGAUUAUCUAUGAAUUGUUAGGUUUUUGUUUCCAUUUGUUUAUUCAGUUGUUCUUCUUUUAUACCCUCUCAUUGGUUUCUGCUCCUCUGUCUUAUGAUUUUCCACUUCCACUUAUCACUCCCUUGUCAUACACACUUGCAGUACAAGAUAAAUAGAAUCUGAAGUUUGCC